AAGAGCUGAUAUUAAAUUUAAUAUUUUUGGCCCAUUAAACUUUAUACUAAAACUGUGGAUACAUCACAUAAUGAAUUUAUGAAGCAUAUUACAACUGUCUUACUCCUAGUCAUGGAAUCAUUGAUACUUUAGGAAAGAAAACAGGAUAUGUCAACCAAAAUGAUCACUGAUGACA